CAGUCGGGCCUUGUUAUCGACCCAUCAUUCUUCCCUAAGUCGUAAGAGUCGGCCUUACUUUAUAUGUGGGAGCAAGAGAUACAGGAAUCAUCGCUCAUAGAUGUGAAUUGAGAAAGCAAGCCCGAAUUCUUUUAAAUGGAAUUAGGCUCUAUAGUCUGGUCACUGUGCCAGGUAAGUCUUAUUGUUAUCCGCAAGUGUAGUUUUGACCGCAGGAAGGUUCACUUGGAAAAAGUGCUUAUUUGGUUGGGAAAGAGAGGACGGACUUUGGACUACGAGCCUACCACACCCGAAAACUGGUGGAAGCUGUAGCCUCUUAUCUUGUCGCUACCCACUAGAAGAAUCCCUUCUAUACCACUCACAAAGAAACCCAAAUCCUUUCCAUCAAGAUAGAUUGAAUCGACGACCUAUACUUAAGCACAAGGGAAUCCAGGGUGAAAAAGCACAGAACAUAGGAAAUGCAAUGGGUCUCCGAACGAAGUCUAAGGUAAAGAAAGAAAGGUAGAGUGGGCGGCUUAUAGUUGCUCUGCUUGGAUUGGCAUGGCUGUCCCCUUUGCUGGUUGAGGCUCGGCCUUUGACUUUGCUUGCCUCCACUUUUCAUGCGUACUAGUCUUGUUUGUUUCGUGGGAUUGACUUCUCUUCUAAAGACAGGAAUGGUUUUUCAUCUUCCCAGGCACGUAAAACGGUGAUUGAUUCCUAACUUAUGUUCUGCACUUAUUUAAUAGGAAGAAGAAAUCGAUUCUGCGUCGUCGCUUCCCAGAUUUGGAAAAUUCAUGAGCCAGCCCGGAAAAUCCAAGUUGAACUAUCUUCCCCGUCUAUCCAUCUGAAAUGAUGAGAAAGACUCGCUCGUUAUUAAAGGGGAUUCAUCAGGUGCAGGGGUUUGCUUCGGAUUCGUAUAGGUGAUAGGGGAAAGAGCAUGUGGUUUUUGUUGACUUCCUUAGAGGAUAAGCCAAUGAAUUGUGUGAUUUAUUUGACUGUUAUCGGUAAAGUGGGUAAACUAACAGCUAGUGGCGUGUACAAAAGGUGAUCUUGUGCGUCUGUUCGCAGUAGAUGAAAAACGCUUGGAUUGUGUAAUAGCUUCGUGCUUAGGUCCCUACUUAAUUGAUUUUGUUUGAUAAAUUCCAAUAGUGUCCAUUGAUACCUUAA